rnacentral:lncRNA from 1 species
GGACUAAAACGAACCAAUUACUGACAUGAGGUAUUUUAAAAUACCUCCCUGCCGAAAUUUUGACAGGAAAAGACCAAAAUGCCCCUAGGGACUAAACUGACUCAAACUAACUCAGAUGCAAUUUUUGAAAUGAUUUUUUAAACAAAGACUCAACAGUGAUUUGUACAGACAAGCUAAAAAGACUCAGAGGCAAACACAGGGACUAAAAUAGGUUCCACUGCAGGAAAUGAACAAAAUACCCUUUUGUAUGAUUUUUUGAAAUAAAACGCAAGAAAAGUAAUGCGAUGUUUCUGAGAGUUCUUAAAUGACUUGUAAUGCAAGAAAAGACAGACAGAGGCAGUAAAAUAUGCUUGAAAAGAGAGUAAGGGUUCAGAGUAAAACAACAGCGAAUUGACAAGUAUCAGUGUUAAAAAAGGAAAUUUAAAUGAGUAUUUUUAGGUCCAAAAUCAGGGUAUAACAAUCAUCAUAUAUUACAAUUACAAUUUCAUAUCAACGUCUUUCACAAUAUAUAAAUAUUUUCACAUUUAAUCAUCAAAGUAAAUCAUCAAUAUUAAUCAUCUUAACAUCUUCUCUUGGCUUCUCACUUCUCUUGAUUUUCUCCCUUUUUCUCCAAAAACAAGUUUCACGUAAUCCCUGUUUUUUUUUUUUAAUUCUAACUCUCCCCUUUUAUAUAAAUCCUUAACCUACUUAUUUUCUCUUAUUUCCAAAUCUGCCCUCAAAGUCUCAAUAUUCUAUUUUAAUAUAUAUAUAUAUAUAUAUAUAUAAUAUAAAAUAUUUCUAUAACGAAUGACAAAUAUAUCUCUAUAACAUAUAUAUUUCUACACCAAAAAUGAAAUAUAUUUCCACAACAAAUAACAUAAUAUUUAUAAACCAAAUAACAUAUAUUUCUACAACAAAUAACAUAUUAUUUCUACACCAAAUGACAUAUAUUUCUACAACAAAUAACAUAUUAUUUCUACACCAAAUAACAUAUAUUUCUACAACAAAUAACAUAAUAUUUUACUAAUAAAUAUCAACAUAUAACAUAACAAAAUAUCACUCAUCUAAUUUCCAAAACAACCUCCACAACUUAAUCUUAUUUUAUUUUCAAAUCCUAUUCUAUUAAAUAAUAAAAUAAGCCACUUAAUAAAUCAACAACACAUCACAAUAAUCAUAUAAAUCACAUAAGUCAUAAAAAUAGACUCUAAACUCAAUAAAAUAUUCAAAUAAUAAAAUUGGGCGUUACAACUUGAGACCUGCAGAUCUCAAUAAACCUGGAACGUCAGAGAAUCGAUAACAAAACCACCGACACACUGGUUUCAAGAUGCGCUUGAAUCCAGAUUGUGGGAUGAGUCCAACACAUUGUAACCAAACAUCUCUUUCGGGUUAAUAAAACCAGACCCUUUCAGCUUUAUGAAACCGAACUGAGGCCACAUUUGUUACCACCCAAUCUCAGAUCAGAAAUACACACAUAAAUAAACACAAACAUACAAAACAAACAGAACCUAACAAAAGACACGAACACAUGCGUAAGAGCAAAGAACCGAACUCCACAUCCAGUAACCGGAGAGCAGAAACUCCGCAACCAGCAACUGAGAAAAAAAACAGCUCCACCACCUAGCAAAAAGGACCCCCAUCAUCCGAAGUAGAUGAGGCACACCCAAAACCUUAAAAUACCCACAAAUCGAGCUCAGUCUAGUGAAGAUCUACAAAUCAAGGAACGUCACCACCAACCAAACUGGAACCUCCCAAACAGUUGCAACAACGGCAGAAACAGGGCAAACUUGCGUCCAAACUAGAUAUGACGACGACCAAAGAGCAAACACGAACGAAAGUUGAGGGUCGCCGGUGGUGUGGAGAACCAACGAUCUCGUCCACCACCAAAGAAAGAUAAUACAUCGGGCCUUGUUGUUUGGAUGCGAAGGGGAAGAAAGGAGGAAGUUUGUGGUGGUGUUUAUUAAGAAGGAAAAGAGAGGUUGAUGGGUAGUGAGAGACGAGCUCUAAACCUGUUAUUUUAAUUAACUCCACUCAGAUCUCGGGGCACUGUUUUUAAUUAAUUUGAAGUACCUUUUGAAUUAGAAGAAUGUGUGAAACUCUUGUGUGAUUAAAUUUUAUUUGUGAUUUAAAUUAGAAAAAUACUAGUUAUGUUAGGGUGUUACAUGUAAUGCUUAUUAAAACAUAAAUUUGUGUGUAUACAUUAUAGUUUAUAUUUAUGGUCUAUCUCCGUUAAAAAAAAAAUAUGGUCUACCUAAACUUUUUUUUUCUAGCUCCGCUACCACGCGCAACAACGCAUUUUCAAGGUAUUGUCUACUUUAAGUAUUGUGUAAGUCCACAAAAUUUUGUCCUUUGUAUAAGUUGUUUCAAUGGAUUGAGAAAUAUAAGUGUUAUUAAUAAAAGGGUUAAAUAUGUUUUUGGUCCCUAUAAAUAUAUCAACUUUUCGUUUUAGUCUCUCUAAAAAAUUUCUUCGUUAUUUAGUCUCCCAGAAGUUUUUUAUCUUCGCUUUUGGUCCCUCCUUUCAAGUAAACUCAUAUGUAGAAUUCAUAUUUUUAAAUGAAAUUUUGAAAAAAUGAUUAGAAUAUCAUAAAAAUCCCUCAAAAAAAAUUAGAAUUUUUUAACAAAACAUGAAUUAAAUAUGAAAUUCAUAUUUAAUUCAUGUUUUAUUGAAAAAUUCUAAUUCUUUUGAGAGAUUUUUAUAAUAUUCUACAUCGAUGCACAAUUUCAUUAAAAAAAAUACAAAGUUUACACAUGAGUUGACUUAAAAAUGGGGACUAAAAGUUGUGCUUGAAAAAUUUAUUGGCACUAAAAGUCGAUAGAAAAUUUUAGAGAGACUAAAAUGAAAAGUUGAUAUAUUUAUAGGGAGCAAAAACAUACUUAACCCUUAAUAUAAUAUCAUACCUGCUUAAAAAGAAAUAUCAUACACAUCAAUUCCCAUACAACAUGAUCCUUGGUGCUAGUGGUAAGAUAUUUGACUUCUUAAACAUGUCAAUUAAACGGUGGUAAAAACUUUAUAUCCAUAGCAUGAUAACCUUAAAACAACGAGAGAUUUAUAUUAUACAUCAACGAUACUUUUUUUUAGAGAGAUCAAGGAAACUAAAUUUCCAUAUUUAAAUUUUUAAUAUACAUGAACAACCUUUAUUUACCAUAUUUGAAUGUUUAUUAGUACAAUUUCCUAAUAUUAGGUCAAGCACCAAGUGAAUGUUUCUUCAUAUCUACGUUACAAAGUGACUCUUAGUUUAAGUGAAAGAGUAGGAGUCAAGAGUGAUCACGGGCCCCACCUAAACCCCAAAGUGAGCUCCUCAACGAACCAAACGGCCAAAGCAUAUACCAAUAAUUUUAAACUUUAGCCAAAUUCAACCCUUCCACCAAAUUUAAUAUACAUAUAUGGAAUCUAUAAUAUAAAUAUCCAACAUGAGCUGUUAAAGUGCUUAUGCAAACAGUACUUAUAUAUCGAAACAAAUGUAUAAAGAACUUUGUAUUUAUUGAACUUUAGGUAUUUCAAAAAUGCAAGUUGCAAAUUAAACGGUGUCGUGUCGUAUACGUCCCAAUAACUAUAUGACACCGACCACUAUCACACAUAGACAAAUUAGCUUCAUAAGCAUGGUCGAUUAUUUCAAUGUUGUGAGUCCAAAUUCCAUAUCAUUCAUAGAUAGCAUAGAAAAAAGUAUUUUUUUUCUUUCUCAAAAUUGUACUAUUUUAUUAUCUAAAUAAAUAUCAUGCAACUUUUUCGAUAUGCCGCAUUUGAUACAUUGUUCACGUCACAUUAUAUCGAUGUGUCACGUGGAUUUAAUUGAUAAUUUAAUAUCCGUUGACCAACCAUAGUAUUAAUUAAACCAUGGGCUUAUAUUUAGAUAAAGUUAUUAAAAAAACAUAGAGUGAAAAGUAAAAUAUGUGAGACAGCUAUGUUUAUCUCUUUUUAAACUUAGAUUAUUAAAUAAGCUAUUAUAGUCCCUUCAAUGGAAGUAAAAUGCUACUCCUGGAUAUAGCUUAUCUCUUUUCUCUUUUUCAUGUGAGAUAUGCAGUCUAUAUUAGGAGUAUCUUUUGUUAUUAUUUACGCACUGAAAAUUGUAUUUUUCAAUUUUAAUUGUUGAUGUUAACUUUACAUAAAUUUAGAAGCACAUGUAGUGUAGAAAUAGUAUUUACUUUCGUUCAAAUCCAUAGAAUUACACGCUAGUAUUUCCACUGUUUUACUAUAAGUGUUGUUUAAAAUAACGCACACUUUGAUGACAAAUCCUAACUCAACUGAUAAAAAUAUGUUGAAAUUGUUGAGUAGAAUGUCGUGACUGAGGUUCAAACUCUAAUUCCUUCACCUAUGUCCUAGUUUCAUUCCAAUAGGUUAUAGGCCAUGGUAAUAUUUGGUCAAAGUAGAACUAGUAGGGUAUUUAGUGUGUGUAUAAUCCCUCCGUCCCAUAUUAUAAAAAAAAAAAAAAAAAAAAAAAAAUUACACUUAUUAAGAAAAUUAAAACUUAGUACUUCCUGCAAUUUUUUUUUUUUUUUAUGUUUUAGAACUUCAACUAUAUUCCAAAACUUUUGAUGUUUUAGUGAAUUUAUUAUUGUUUUCUCAAGUUUACCCUUGUUGAAAAACACAAUAAACUAUUAAAGUAGUUGUGACUUUUAGUUUAUCACAUGUGAAUUUAAUGAUAAAUAAUGACAUUUAAGUAAAAAAACACACAAAUGUAUAUAUACUUUAAUUACUUCUUAAAACUUGUGUCAAGAGCUAAAACAUCAAAAUAAAAGGAAUGGAGG